rnacentral:rRNA from 1 species
GUUAGUGGCGGACGGGUGAGUAACGCGUGGGUAACCUGCCUUGUACUGGGGGACAACAGUUGGAAACGACUGCUAAUACCGCAUAAGCGCACAGCUUCGCAUGAAGCAGUGUGAAAAACUCCGGUGGUACAAGAUGGACCCGCGUCUGAUUAGCUAGUUGGUGGGGUAACGGCCUACCAAGGCGACGAUCAGUAGCCGGCCUGAGAGGGUGAACGGCCACAUUGGGACUGAGACACGGCCCAAACUCCUACGGGAGGCAGCAUG